rnacentral:rRNA from 1 species
ACCCGCUGAAUUUAAGCAUAUCACUAAGCGGAGGAAAAGAAACUAACCAGGAUUCCCCUAGUAACGGCGAGUGAAGAGGGAAUAGCCCAGCACCGAAGCCUGCGGUAGUUUUACUGUUAGGCAAUGUGGUGUUUGGGUCGGCUCGUGGGAUUGCCACUCCAUUCGAAGUCCAGCAUUGAGUAUGGUUCACUGGAAUUGGCCCAGAGAGGGUGAAAGGCCCGUACGAAUGGAGGUUCAGACAAGUAAGGCAAUUCACCAGGCCGGCCUUCGAGUCGGGUUGUUUGGGAAUGCAGCCCAAAGUGGGUGGUAAACUCCAUCCAAGGCUAAAUACAAGCACGAAUCCGAUAGCGAACAAGUACCGUGAGGGAAAGUUGAAAAGUACUUUGAAAAGAGAGUAAACAGUACGUGAAACCGCAUAGAGGUAAACGGGUGGCGUCAAGCUGUUAGCCCGAAGGAUUCAGUCGGCAAGGUUGUUGUGUAUGUGCCAAGCGCAUCUAUCAGUCGGAAUAAGUAUCAGUAGUCCACUGGAAAACGGUGGGCCCGGCUUCGGUCGGGAUUUGUGUACCGGGUGGAUGCCGGAGCAAGCUACUGGUCUGUUGGACUGCCUUGUCGGUGCACUUCCUUCGUGGUGAACACCACGACCGGUGGUACUGCCAGUCUGCUAUAGCCAAGUCGUAUGUGACCGAUUCUCGUAGUUGGUUGUAUGCGAUCACAGGCAAUUUGAUGGCCGGCGUAAGUCUGCUUCGGUAGGCUUGCGUGUUAUCGUUCAUCGGUUGUCAACGGGCCGGUUAAUGGUUGUUGUAUCCGCCAUUUACUGGUCUGGUGGGCUAUAGUGGUAAGAAUAACUGUGCAGGGCAUCGGAGUUUUCGGUCUCAAAUGCAGAUUGCAUCCAUGAUACAAGUGGAAGCAAGGGGCAGUGUUGCAGCCUGCCUAUCCUUGGGUCUGAUUAUCGUGUCGCCUGCGAAAAGUAGGCCCGGUAGUGGCUCGAGGUGGGAUGGAGUUGUUAGCAUUGUCUCGUGUGCAGUCUGUGGUGGACCAAAUAGUCUGUGGUGUAGUGGUAGACGAGCUACCCGACCCGUCUUGAAACACGGACCAAGGAGUUUAACAUGUAUGCAAGUCAAUGGGUCUUACGAAACCCAAAGGCGCAGUGAAAGUGAAGCUUCGACUUGUCUCGGAGUGAGGUGAGAUCUUGUCGUUACUCGCACAUGUCAGCACUUGGCAUAGAGCGGCAGGCGCAUCACCGGCCCGUCCCAUGAUGUGGUCAUUGGAUUUCUGCAGUACUUGCUUGCAAUUGCUGUAGUGCCAGUGCGUCAUCGGGGCGGUGCAUGAGCAUACACGUUGAGACCCGAAAGAUGGUGAACUAUGCUUGCGUAGGUUGAAGCCAGAGGAAACUCUGGUGGAGGACCGCAGCGAUUCUGACGUGCAAAUCGAUCGUCAAACGUGAGUAUAGGGGCGAAAGACUAAUCGAACCAUCUAGUAGCUGGUUCCCUCCGAAGUUUCCCUCAGGAUAGC